rnacentral:rRNA from 1 species
AUGAACGCUGGCGGCGUGCCUAAUACAUGCAAGUCGAGCGAACAGACGAGGAGCUUGCUCCUCUGACGUUAGCGGCGGACGGGUGAGUAACACGUGGAUAACCUACCUAUAAGACUGGGAUAACUUCGGGAAACCGGAGCUAAUACCGGAUAAUAUAUUGAACCGCAUGGUUCAAUAGUGAAAGACGGUUUUGCUGUCACUUAUAGAUGGAUCCGCGCCGCAUUAGCUAGUUGGUAAGGUAACGGCUUACCAAGGCAACGAUGCGUAGCCGACCUGAGAGGGGGAUGCCCCACACGGAAAGUGAAACACGGUCCAGACCCCUAGGGGGGGCAGCAGUAGGAAAUUUGCCGAAAGGGGCGAAGGCCUGACGGGGCAACGCCGCGUGAGUAAUAAAGGUCUUGGGAUCGUAAAACUCUUUUAUUGGGGAAAAACAAAUGUGUAAGUAACUAUGCACUUCUUGACGAUACCAAAACAAAAAGCCGCGGCUAACUGCG